AGUAACGCGUGGGUAACCUGCCUCAUACAGGGGGAUAACAGUUAGAAAUGACUGCUAAUACCGCAUAAGCGCACAGUGCUGCAUAGCACAGUGUGAAAAACUCCGGUGGUAUGAGAUGGACCCGCGUCUGAUUAGGUAGUUGGUGAGGUAACGGCCCACCAAGCCGACGAUCAGUAGCCGACCUGAGAGGGUGACCGGCCACAUUGGGACUGAGACACGGCCCAAA
rnacentral:rRNA from 1 species